CCUACGGGUAGCAGCAGUGGGGAAUAUUGGGCAAUGGAGGAAACUCUGACCCAGCAACGCCGCGUGAAUGAUGAAGGUCUUCGGAUUGUAAAGUUCUUUUCUAAGGGAAGAAGAAAGUGAUGGUACCUUAGGAAUAACCCGCGGCUAACUACGUGCCAGCAGCCGCGGUAAUACGGAGGAGGCGAGCGUUAUCCGGCAUGACUGGGCGUAAAGGGGGCGUAGGUGGUUUGGCAAGAUAGUAGCGUAACUCCAAGGCUCAACCUUGGAACUACUACUAUGACUAUUGGACUUGAGUGCAGGAGGGGCUACCGGAAUACCUAGUGUAGCGGUGGAAUGCGUAGAUAUUAGGAGGAACACCAGUGGCGAAGGCGGGUUGCUAGACUGUAACUGACACUGAGGCACGAAAGCGUGGGGAGCAAACAGGAUUAGAUACCCCUGUAGUC
rnacentral:rRNA from 1 species